GGCAUCCAUUGUGUGAGGAUCCUUCAGAUUUCACUCCUGGAAAGCAAAAAGUGAUGGCUGACAACAAAUCAGUCUCCAGACUCUGGUUAUGACAACCAUACAGAAUGCUGAAAACAAGUGUAACGUUAUCUACCAGGAAACAACACCCCUGUCUUAGGAAUCUUCCACUUCACAGAGGUCAGGGUUAGGCUGGGUAAGGAGCAGCUGCCACCGACACUGGUACCCAGCAGCUCAAGGGGAGGGUUGGACCAGGAUAACAGGAACAGGUGGUUAUUUCUGGAGGACUGAAAAUAAAGUCAACUCUCCCUGUAAAACUCCAGCUGACGUUCUGUAAAGCACUUAUGGAAAUCUGAACAGGUUUUAGUCCCCUUCAUAAGAGAA